UUGCAUUCAUCUUUCACUUAGAACAUAUCUGUAUUUUUACAGACUCUGUGUGCUGAUGACCACACCUAUGCCAAAGGAGCCGAGGCACAAAUUGAGGUAGAAAGGAUACCGCCAAUCUUACAGAUGCAGAGGAGAGGAGAGUACCCUCGUUACUACUGUGAUGGCAUACCUGGACUUUGCCCUGAGUGCCAACAUUGAAUUCAAAGAAAAUAUAAGUUGCUUUCCACAAUCUGUCACAUAUUGUUAGUUUUUUUUGUGACAUGCCAUUUGAAAUCGUUUCUGAUAAAGAAUAUUUACCUUUUGA